GGAAGGAUCAUUACCAAAUCCAAAUUACCAAACCCCAUGUGAACUAUUGUUUAGUCUGUCUUUGGGAGAAAAUGAAAAAUGAAAGAAAAAAUUGGAGCUUUUUCCUUUUCUUUCUGGAUUUUGAAUUUUUCUCCCAAUAGAGUCCGGCCCAAUGUUAUCAUUGUGUUCAGAUUCGAAAACACCCUUUUAAACCACUUGAUUUUUCUGUUGGAAUUUUCUUUUAUUAAUUUUAAAUAAAAGACAACUUUUAACGGCGGAUCUCUUGGCUCGUGGAUCGAUGAAGAACGCAGCAAACUGCGAUACGUAGUGUGAAUUGCAGAAUUCAGUGAAUCAUCGAAUCUUUGAACGCAAAUUGCGCUACUGGGCAUUCCCGGUAGCAUGCUUGGCUGAGUAUCAUCUGGAUAUAUCACAAACAUUUUUUGUUUGUGGAAAUGAGGAUUGUCACAUUGAUGCUUGAUUCGUCAGGAUUUUCGAUGCGUCCCUUUAAAUACAGUAAUUGGUGGGAAAGGAUACUGACUGUUCCUUUUGUUACCAACUAGUGUGUUAAUUGUCCUUUUGGACAUUUUUUUAUACGCUAUGUUGAGAACAGGGACACUUUUUAAAGUUAGAAUCCAUACAAAUUUCUGGCCAUUCAUAAAUCAAAAUCUCUUUUGAAAUUUUGAUCUCAGCUCAAGCAAGACUACCCGCUGAAUUUAAGCAUAUUAAUAAGCGGAGGAAAAGAAACUAACAAGGAUUCCCUUAGUAACGGCGAGUGAAGCGGGAAGAGCUCAAAUUUUAAAGCUCCGUGGUUUCCACGGCGCGUUGUAAACUAAAGAAGCGUUUUCUCGCGCGGCCCCGGUACAAGUCCGUUGGAACGCGGCAUCAUGGAGGGUGAGAAUCCCGUUCGUGACUGGGUGACCUGUGCGUCUACGAUACGUUUUCAAAGAGUCGGGUUGUUUGGGAAUGCAGCCCAAAAUGGGUGGUAAAUUUCAUCUAAAGCUAAAUAUUGCCACGAGACCGAUAGCGAACAAGUACCGUGAGGGAAAGAUGAAAAGAACUUUGAAAAGAGAGUUAAAAAGUACGUGAAACCGUUAAAAGGGAAGCAAAUGGCACUAGCAUUUGUACCUGUCAUAAUCAAUCAGUCGUCUUGAAACCGGGCGGUGUAGAGAGUGUUAAAGCCUCUUGCCGUUCGUAUGGAGAGUUCGGCUGGUGCACUUGUGGCUGGUACAGGCCAACAUCAGUUCGGACUGGGACACACACGCAGCGGGAAGGUGGCUUGUAGCUUCGGCUGCAAGUGUUAUAGCCCGUUGUGAAUGUUCCGGGCUGGACUGAGGCGUCGCAGGUUGUGCUUUCGGGCUAGUUCCCUGGUUUAAUGGUAUAGCGGUUUCCUUCUACUUGCGAAAAGUAAGUUGUUGGAAGCUACGCGGUGCCAUUAUUUCAGGUGUAUCAUAAACAACCUUCGGAUGUUGGCGAAAUGGUGUUAUCUGACCCGUCUUGAAACACGGACCAAGGAGUCUAACAUAUAUGCGAGUCUUUGGGUGGCAAACCCGCAGGCGCAAUGAAAGUAAAGGCACGUUCGGCGUGCUGAGGUGAGAUCCGCAAGGAGCAUCAUCGACCGAUCUGGAUGGUUUCCUGAAAGAUUUGAGUAAGAGCAUAUCUGUUGGGACCCGAAAGAUGGUGAACUAUGCCUGAAUAGGGUGAAGUCUGAGGAAACUCAGAUGGAAGCUCGUAGCGAUUCUGACGUGCAAAUCGAUCGUCAAAUUUGGGUAUAGGGGCGAAAGACUAAUCGAACCAUCUAGUAGCUGGUUCCCUC
rnacentral:misc_RNA from 1 species